AUUGAACGCUGGCGGCAGGCUUAACACAUGCCAGUCGAACGAGCGGCGGACGGGUGAGUAAUGUCUGGGAAACUGCCCGAUGGAGGGGGAUAACUACUGGAAACGGUAGCUAAUACCGCAUACCAUCAGAAGGGCCCAGAUGGGAUUAGCUAGUAGGGGGGGUAACGGCGCACCACGGCGACGAUCCCUAACUGGUCUGAGAGGAUGACCAGUAACACUGUACCUGAGACAAGUGCCAGUCUCCUACGGGAGGCAGCAGUGGGGAAUAUUGGACAAUGGGUGCAAGCCUGAUGCAGCCAUGCCGGGUGUGUGAAGAAGGCCUUCGGGUUGUAAAGCACUUUCAGCGAGGAGGCGUUACCCGCAGAAGAAGCACCGGCUAACUCCGUGCCAGCAGCGGCGGGAAGUG
rnacentral:rRNA from 1 species